UCUUUUAGCUGUGCUGCCCAGGGCUUGCUUGAUCUCGUCUGAUCUUGAAGCUAAACCUGGUUGGUCCUGGUUAGUCUUUGGAUGUGAGACCUUUUGGGACUAAAAGGUGCUGUAAGCU
rnacentral:rRNA from 1 species